rnacentral:rRNA from 1 species
UGGGGAAUAUUGCACAAUGGGCGCAAGCCUGAUGCAGCCAUGCCGCGUGUAUGAAGAAGGCCUUCGGGUUGUAAAGUACUUUCAGCGAGGAGGAAGGCGGUAAGGUUAAUAACCUUAUCGAUUGACGUUACUCGCAGAAGAAGCACCGGCUAACUCCGUGCCAGCAGCCGCGGUAAUACGGAGGGUGCAAGCGUUAAUCGGAAUUACUGGGCGUAAAGCGCACGCAGGCGGUCUGUCAAGUCGGAUGUGAAAUCCCCGGGCUCAACCUGGGAACUGCAUUCGAAAAUGGCAGGCUAGAGUCUUGUAGAGGGGGGUAGAAUUCCAGGUGUAGCGGUGAAAUGCGUAGAGAUCUGGAGGAAUACCGGUGGCGAAGGCGGCCCCCUGGACAAAGACUGACGCUCAGGUGCGAAAGCGUGGGGAGCAAACA